rnacentral:rRNA from 1 species
CCUAUGGGUGGCAGCAGUGGGGAAUAUUGCACAAUGGGGGAAACCCUGAUGCAGCGACGCCGCGUGAGCGAUGAAGUAUUUCGGUAUGUAAAGCUCUAUCAGCAGGGAAGAAAAUGACGGUACCUGACUAAGAAGCCCCGGCUAACUACGUGCCAGCAGCCGCGGUAAUACGUAGGGGGCAAGCGUUAUCCGGAUUUACUGGGUGUAAAGGGAGCGUAGACGGCUGUGCAAGCCAGAUGUGAAAGCCCGGGGCCCAACCCCGGGACUGCAUUUGGAACUGUGUGGCUGGAGUGUCGGAGAGGCAGGCGGAAUUCGUAGUGUAGCGGUGAAAUGCGUAGAUAUUAGGAGGAACACCAGUGGCGAAGGCGGCCUGCUGGCCGAUGACUGACGUUGAGGCUCGAAAGCGUGGGGAGCAAACAGGAUUAGAUACCCCUGUAGUC